AACGAACGCUGGCGGCAUGCUUUACACAUGCAAGUCGAACGGUAACAGGCCGCAAGGUGCUGACGAGUGGCGAACGGGUGAGUAAUGCAUCGGAACGUGCCCAGUCGUGGGGGAUAACGCAGCGAAAGCUGCGCUAAUACCGCAUACGAUCUCUGGAUGAAAGCGGGGGACCGAAAGGCCUCGUGCGAUUGGAGCGGCCGAUGUCAGAUUAGGUAGUUGGUGGGGUAAAGGCCCACCAAGCCAACGAUCUGUAGCUGGUCUGAGAGGACGACCAGCCACACUGGGACUGAGACCCGGCCCAGACUCCUACGGGAGGCAGCAGUGGGGAAUUUUGGACAAUGGGCGCAAGCCUGAUCCAGCAAUGCCGCGUGCAGGAAGAAGGCCUUCGGGUUGUAAACUGCUUUUGUACGGAACGAAACGGUCCGGGUUAAUACCCUGGGCUAAUGACGGUACCGUAAGAAUAAGCACCGGCUAACUACGUGCCAGCCGCCGCAGUAAGAC
rnacentral:rRNA from 1 species